rnacentral:tRNA from 2 species
GGGCCGUUAGCUCAAUGGUUAGAGCCGGCCGCUCAUAACGGUCUGGUUGCAGGUUCGAGUCCUGCACGGCCCACCA